UGAGCUCACCUCUACAGUCGCACCGUCCUGAUCUUCUUCAUGAUAUCAGUCUCUCUCUCUCUCUCUCUCUCUCUCUCUCUCUCUCUCCCUUCACUUGUCAGUUGUCAAUGUGUCUUAUUCAAUUUUAUUCGAAAAUAAAAAUAGAUUAACUUACUUGCAUCUGUUUACUUGUAACUCUUAACCAGUUUACCAACUCUAGGUGCGCUCUUUAGAUAUUCCCAGUUUUAUUUUUAAGAAUCUAAUCUGGGUUUUAUUCACUCUAUCCUUUCUCAGCUCGUAGCUGCUUAUUCAAUCAUUUCUUCAGAAUCUAAAGCUAUCUACUUUUUCACUUCUUUCUGUGGUGUAAAUGUUUUUUUAGCCCCUCCAAACAUGAGUUCCAUUCCUUCUUUGAUCCUCUAAAGUUUCCAGAUCAGCUUUCUUCAUUUUCUUUACUUUAUUCUUUGUCUCUCCUAUCUUCACAUCUAGAUUUGGGUAUUUCUUUUUUGUUUUCUUGCUUUGAGGUAUUGGUUGCUUAUAAAAUCCCAUUUUCCAAAAAGCUUGAACCCAGUUUUGUUGAUGAUGAUGAUGGGGAACUUUUCAGUUCCUGUAGCUUUUAAUUUGGUUUUUCUGUGCUCAUUGGUUUGUGUGGUGAGGGGUAUUGGUGCCAAUUGGGGUACACAAGCAAGUCAUCCUCUGCCUCCGAAAACUGUGGUGAAUCUGUUGAGGAAUAAUGGGAUUCAAAAAGUGAAGCUUUUUGAUGCUGAUUAUGGAACAUUAAGGGCUCUGGGAGGUUCUAAUAUUGAGGUCAUGGUCGGUAUCCCAAAUGACAAGCUUGCAUCUCUGGCUGGUAGCAUGAAGGCCGCUGAGAAAUGGGUUUCCAGCAAUGUCUCCAAACAUAUCUCUUCUAAUCAUGUCAAUAUCAGAUAUGUUGCAGUUGGGAAUGAACCUUUCUUGCAAACAUACAAUGAAAGCUUCCUCAACACAACCUUCCCUGCUCUGCAGAAUGUUCAGUCUGCCCUGAUAAAGGCUGGGCUUAGCAAUCAAGUAAAGGUCACUGUACCCCUCAAUGCUGAUGUUUAUGAGUCCUCAUCUGGAUAUCCAUCUGGCGGUGACUUCCGAACUGAUAUCCACGAUCUCAUGCUUGCCAUUGUCAAAUUUUUGAGUGAUUAUGGUGCGCCAUUUACUGUCAACAUUUAUCCAUUCAUAAGCCUUUACACUGAUUCCAACUUCCCCGUUGAGUAUGCCUUCUUUGACGGCAAUGCACAACCUGUAAAUGAUGGUGGGACGAUCUAUUACAAUAUGUUUGAUGCAAAUCAUGACACUCUUGUGUAUGCUCUACAGAGGAAUGGGUAUGGGAAUCUGCCUAUUAUAAUUGGAGAAAUUGGGUGGCCAACUGAUGGAGAUCGAAAUGCUAAUUCAGAGUAUGCACGACGAUUCAACCAAGGUUUUAUGUCCCAUAUUUCAGGUGGGAAAGGAACACCAAUGCGACCAGGGCCCAUUGAUGCAUAUUUGUUUAGUUUGAUCGAUGAGGACGCCAAGAGUAUUGAUCCGGGGAAUUUUGAACGUCACUGGGGGAUAUUUACUUUUGAUGGGAGAGCCAAAUACGUGCUCAAUCUUGGCAUGACAAACUCGGGUGCCUUAAUUCCGGCAAGAGGUGUGCAUUACUUGGAGAAAAAGUGGUGUAUAAUGAAGCCUUCAGCCAGACUCGAUGAUCCACAGGUAGCACCAAGCGUGAGCUACGCCUGUGGACUUGCUGACUGCUCUGAACUUGGUUAUGGGACAUCUUGUGCAGAUCUGGAUGCUCAAGGGAAUAUCUCAUAUGCGUUUAAUAGUUACUAUCAGAGAAAUAAUCAGGUUGAUGCUGCUUGUAAAUUUCCAAACAUAUCAAUGGUUACAAAAAAGGAUCCAUCAAUGGGAAGCUGCACAUUCCAGAUAAUGAUUCAGCCAUAUUAUGGAGGUGCAGGAAGGAGAAAGCCAAUAGCUUUGGUUUUGGGCUUUCUUCUCUUCGCAUUAACAUUUCUGUGAGUGCUACUAGCAUUUGUUUUGUAGGAGAAGCAUUGUGAUUCAUCAGUGGCACAAGCAUCGUCCUUAUUUUGCAAUUAACCAAGCACACACAGAGCAAACUAGGGAGAGAGUAGAGAGUUUGAGGCAUCAAGAAGGGAAGGAGAUCACUGGAAGUCCGCAGUCACAUGAAGACUUGCCGUUCAUCGGAUGAGAGGUAGGCAUCUCCCCCCUUCCCUUUGUGUUCCAUAUUGUAUUAUUAGGUAUUUUUAUAAAUUAUUAUUAGAAUUCUGUAUGAUGGGUGGUUUUUUAUUCAAUCUAAGCUUUUUGAAUUGACUAGGAUGAUUGGUUGUAUUUUUGGGAUCAAGUCGUAUGUGUAAGAACACUAAUAUUGUGUUUGCAUUUGUUCUAAAGUGAAAAUUGGCAAGAGCACAAUGUUAUAGACACCAAGCAUGCCCAUGCAUGGGAGAUGCACUAUUAUGCCUCGGUUGGGUCGCCACUUGACGCCGCAAAGAGUUAGAUGUGCGCAUGAGUGCCAGACAUGCAAUGUGCACAUCAAGCAUGUGUGUAGCUGUCAAGCAUGCAACGUGCACGUCGGGCAUGUAUGUAGCUGUCGAGUGUGCAGCAUGCACGUCAGGCAUGUGUGUAGUUGUCGAGUGUGCAACUUGCAUAUCGAGCAUGCACUCAGCUUUCGGGCAUGUCGCAUGCACAUUGGGCUUGCGUGUAGCUACACACUCGCAUAGUUUGUAGCAUACCCAUACAACCUAUGGCGCAAUUGGGCCACUUGUGGCAUGCCUAUGGCAUAUCUGUGUGCCUAGGGUGCUCGAUAGUGCGAGUCAGACACAUGCCCGUGCACGAUGAAUCUUUGGCACACCCAUGCCCGAACGUGUCAUGCCCAUAUCAAAACCUUGGAAAGUAACUUUCGUCUUGUUUACAAGUGUAGGGAUAAGUUAGGUGACCAUAAAUGUUCAUACGGAUUGGAUUUAAAAAACAUAGCCAUAGUUAUGUGCAUAGAUGGUUACAAGUCAUGUUGCAUGCCAACUGAUGAGAUGUUCUGGUCUUGAGAAUACAUGGGCCGAUUGAUGAAAUGUUUCGGCCCUUAGUAGUGGAAGUAGAAUGAACUCAAUAGACAAUAAUGAUGUAAGCAACGUCUAAGAUAGACGUCUCUUCGGACCACUUCCACAAGGGAGGUAAGAGACAUAUGAGAUGGGUUUCCAUCCUAAUUAUAAAGAUAAGAGACACCUGAGAUGGGUGUUUAAUUCGAUGUGUAUAGACGUAAGAGGUAUCUGAGAUAGAUGCAUAUUCUAACAUAAAGGCAUAGGAGACACCUGAGACGGAAGUCUGAUCGGAUGCAUCUGGGACGCAUAUGACGGUAGGAGAAAUAGCAGGGCAAGCAAGAAGAUGAGUGAAUCAACAAAUUAAGCUACAUGCCAACUAUAGUCGUCUUGACGUUUUAUUAUGCAUUUGAUAUGGAUUUUUUUUGUUAAUUUAGUGCACAUUAAGAUUUCAAAUAAUGUCUUUUGUAAUAUUUCCAUAAAGACACUUUUUAGCAUGCUUUUCAUUAAUAACAAGUGCAUAAUGUUCUUUC